rnacentral:rRNA from 1 species
GAUGAACGCUGGCGGCGUGCCUAAUACAUGCAAGUCGAGCGAACGGAUUAAGAGCUUGCUCUUAUGAAGUUAGCGGCGGACGGGUGAGUAACACGUGGGUAACCUGCCCAUAAGACUGGGAUAACUCCGGGAAACCGGGGCUAAUACCGGAUAACAUUUUGAACCGCAUGGUUCGAAAUUGAAAGGCGGCUUCGGCUGUCACUUAUGGAUGGACCCGCGUCGCAUUAGCUAGUUGGUGAGGUAACGGCUCACCAAGGCAACGAUGCGUAGCCGACCUGAGAGGGUGAUCGGCCACACUGGGACUGAAACACGGCCCAGACUCCUACGGGAGGCAGCAGUAGGGAAUCUUCCGCAAUGGACGAAAGUCUGACGGAGCAACGCCGCGUGAGUGAUGAAGGCUUUCGGGUCGUAAAACUCUGUUGUUAAGGAAGAACAAGUGCUAGUUGAAUAAGCUGGCACCUUGACGGUACCUAACCAGAAAGCCACGGCUAACUACGUGCCAGCCGCCGCGGUAA